rnacentral:rRNA from 1 species
UACUAGAGUAGCACUCGCAUAUCAAUAAGCGGAGGAAAAGAAACUAACAAGGAUUCCCCUAGUAACGGCGAGUGAAGCGGGAAGAGCUCAAAUUUGAAAUCUUAAAGGGUUUCCCUUUACGAAUUGUAGUUUAAAGAAGUGUUUUCUGUUGAGGUUUUGGUAAAAGUUCUUUGGAAUAGGACAUCAUAGAGGGUGAGAAUCCCGUAUUUGACCUUUACUUUCAACUUUGUGAUACACUUUCAAAGAGUCGGAUUGUUUGGGAAUGCAGUCCAAAAUGGGUGGUAAAUUUCAUCUAAAGCUAAAUAUUGGCGAGAGACCGAUAGCGAACAAGUACCGUGAGGGAAAGAUGAAAAGAACUUUGAAAAGAGAGUUAAACAGUACGUGAAAUUGUCAAAAGGGAAGCGUUUGACACCAGUGUUGUUUUUCUGAAAAUCAAUUAAAGAACUGUUUAUGCUAAGCUGUUUAGACUUUAUCAGCUAUCUGUUUAGUUUUGAGCCUUUUCUUUAAUGCACUUUUCAGUUAACAAGUCAGCAUCAAUUUCUUUUACUGUAAAAAAGCUUGAGGAAGGUGGCUUGAGAUUCGUCUUAAGUGUUUAUAGCCUCUUGCCUAUGCAGUCGGAGAGAUUGAGGUCUGCAGCGUAGAUCCUUCGGGGCUAAAUGCAUUUGUGCUAAGUUAUAGCAUUUUAUAGACAACUUGUUGACUAUGAUUUGUCUUGUAGCUUACUCGCUUAUGUUAUUUUACCUACGCUUAGGAUGUUGAGCGCAUGUCUCUCUCU